UGGGGAAUAUUGGACAAUGGGCGAAAGCCUGAUCCAGCCAUGCCGCGUGUGUGAAGAAGGUCUUCGGAUUGUAAAGCACUUUAAGUUGGGAGGAAGGGCAGUAAGCGAAUACCUUACUGUUUUGACGUUACCGACAGAAUAAGCACCGGCUAACUCUGUGCCAGCAGCCGCGGUAAUACAGAGGGUGCAAGCGUUAAUCGGAAUUACUGGGCGUAAAGCGCGCGUAGGUGGUUCGUUAAGUUGAAUGUGAAAGCCCCGGGCUCAACCUGGGAACUGCAUCCAAAACUGGCGAGCUAGAGUAGGGCAGAGGGUGGUGGAAUUUCCUGUGUAGCGGUGAAAUGCGUAGAUAUAGGAAGGAACACCAGUGGCGAAGGCGACCACCUGGGCUCAUACUGACACUGAGGUGCGAAAGCGUGGGGAGCAAACAGG
rnacentral:rRNA from 1 species